UACGUAGGGGCAAGCGUUGUCCGGAUUUAUUGGGCGUAAAGAGCGUGUAGGCGGCCAUACAGGUCCGUUGUGAAAACUGGAGGCUUAACCUCCAGACGUCGAUGGAAACCGUAUGGCUAGAGUCCGGAAGAGGAGAGUGGAAUUCCUGGUGGUAGCGGUGGAAAUGCGCAGAUAUCAGGAAGAACACCCGUGGCGAAGGCGGCUCUCUGGGACGGUACUGACGCUGAGACGCGAAAGCGUGGGGAGCGAACAGG
rnacentral:rRNA from 1 species